rnacentral:rRNA from 1 species
UACGAAGGGGGCUAGCGUUGCUCGGAAUCACUGGGCGUAAAGCGCACGUAGGCGGAUCUUUAAGUCAGGGGUGAAAUCCCGAGGCUCAACCUCGGAACUGCCUUUGAUACUGGGGAUCUCGAGUCCGGAAGAGGUUGGUGGAACUCCGAGUGUAGAGGUGAAAUUCGUAGAUAUUCGGAAGAACACCAGUGGCGAAGGCGGAUCUCUGGGCCGAUACUGACGCUGAGGAGCGAAAGCGUGGGGAGCGAACAGG